AGUGAACGCUGGCGGUAGGCCUAACACAUGCAAGUCGAACGGCAGCACAGUAAGAGCUUGCUCUUACGGGUGGCGAGUGGCGGACGGGUGAGGAAUACAUCGGAAUCUACUUUUUCGUGGGGGAUAACGUAGGGAAACUUACGCUAAUACCGCAUACGACCUACGGGUGAAAGCAGUGGAUCUUCGCACCUUGCGCGAUUGAAUGAGCCGAUGUCGUAUUAGCUAGUUGGCGGGGUAAAGGCCCACCAAGGCGAGGAUCCGUAGCUGGUCUGAGAGGAUGAUCAGCCACACUGGAACUGAGACACGGUCCAGACUCCUACGGGAGGCAGCAGUGGGGAAUAUUGGACAAUGGGCGCAAGCCUGAUCCAGCCAUACCGCGUGGGUGAAGAAGGCCUGCGGGUUGUAAAGCCCUUUUGUUGGGAAAGAAAAGCAGCAGGUUAAUACCCCGCUGUUCGGACGGUACCCAAAGAAUAAGCACCGGCUAACUUCGU
rnacentral:rRNA from 1 species